GGAGGGGUGCCGGAGUGGCCGAACGGACCGGUCUUGAAAACCGGAGUCCUGGCAACGGGACCGUGGGUUCGAAUCCCACCCCCUCCGCCA
rnacentral:tRNA from 1 species